GUGACCGCAUGUCCCACAGUCCCAUCCAUUAAACAAAAAGAACCUAGUAUUAUGUGUCUACUAUGGAUCGAAAGAGAAAUUGUCCAUGAGCAUUCCCAUAUUUCUUUUCGUCUACUUAUUGCUCUGCUAUUCUGGUCCUUUUUCUUUUAAAUAAAACAUAACACUAGAAAUACAUGUACUGCUAGAAAUGAAUCAACAGAUUCGUGAAUAAACUAUGCCUGAAUACAAACAUAUUUGUUAUUAAGAUAUUUUAUUACUAUUUUCG
rnacentral:lncRNA from 1 species